rnacentral:tRNA from 1 species
GCGCCAUUCGUCUAGUGGACUAGGAUUUCUGGUUCUCAGCCAGAAGACCGGGGUUCGAAUCACCGAUGGCGAACCA